GCAAAGAUUACCCCUUGUACCUUUUGCAUAAUGAAUUAACUAGUAUAAGACUUAACAAAAUGAAUUUUAGCUAAGCAGCCCGAAACCAGACGAGCUACUCACAAACAGUUUACCAAGAACUAACUCAUCUAUGUGGCAAAAUAGUGAGAAGAUUUGUAAGUAGAGGUGACAUGCCUAACGAGCCUGGUGAUAGCUGGUUGUCCAGAAAAUGAAUCUAAGUUCAGCUUUAAAGAUACCAAAAAUUCAAAUAAACCCCACUGUAGCUUUAAAAGUUAGUCUAAAAAGGUACAGCCUUUUAGAAACGGAUACAACCUUGACUAGAAAGUAAAAUUUAACACUAC
rnacentral:rRNA from 1 species